GACCCGAUGGCCCGGUGGCCGGCGCGGUUUGCAAGUCCGCGUGGGCGAGCUCGACUCUCGCUCGGGUCUCCA
rnacentral:tRNA from 1 species